rnacentral:rRNA from 1 species
UAGGGAAUCUUCCGCAAUGGGCGAAAGCCUGACGGAGCAACGCCGCGUGAGUGAUGAAGGUCUUCGGAUCGUAAAACUAUGUUAUUAGGGAAGAACAAAUGUGUAAGUAACUAUGCACAUCUUGACGGUACCUAAUCAGAAAGCCACGGCUAACUACGUGCCAGCAGCCGCGGUAAUACGAAGGUGGCAAGCGAUAUCCGGAAUUAUUGGGCGUAAAGCGCGCGUAGGCGGUUUUUUAAGUCUGAUGUGAAAGCCCACGGCUCAACCGUGGAGGGUCAUUGGAAACUGGAAAACUUGAGUGCAGCAGAGGCAAGUGGAAUUCCAUGUGUAGCGGUGAAAUGCGCAGAGAUGUGGAGGAACACCAGUGGCGCAGGCGACUUUCUGGUCUGUAACUGACGCUGAUGUGCGAAAGCGUGGGAUCAAACAUG